rnacentral:rRNA from 1 species
AAGAACCCCGGCGAGGGGAGUGAAAAAGAACCUGAAACCGUGUACGUACAAGCAGUGGGAGCCCCACCACCAAAGCAUUUGCUGUACCGCGUUGACGGAGCGAAGCGACGUCAAACCGAUAAAACAGCAGUGUAAAGUGAGCCGCAGGGCGCUUUGCGCGACAGCGCAAAGGCAGGCGGUUUCGCGUAGCGAAAGCGAAUGCUUUGGGGUGGGGUGACUGCGUACCUUUUGUAUAAUGGGUCAGCGACUUAUAUUCUGUAGCAAGGUUAACCGAA